UACAGAGGUGGCAAGCGUUGUUCGGAAUUACUGGGCGUAAAGGGCGCGUAGGCGGUCGGGCAAGUCCUGUGUGAAAUCCCUCGGCUCAACUGAGGAACUGCACGGGAAACUGCUCGACUUGAGUUCGGGAGAGGGAAGCGGAAUUCCGGGUGUAGCGGUGAAAUGCGUAGAUAUCAGGAGGAAUACCGAUGGCGAAGGCAGGUCUCUGGGCUAACACUGACGCUCAUGCACGAAAGCGUGGGGAGCAAACAGG
rnacentral:rRNA from 1 species